rnacentral:rRNA from 1 species
AGUAAAUAGAUACCCCGGUAGUCCACGCCGUAAACGAUGUCGACUUGGAGGUUGUGCCCUUGAGGCGUGGCUUCCGGAGCUAAACGCGUUAAAGUCGACCGCCUGGGGAGUACGGCCGCAAGGUUAAAACUCAAAUGAAUUGACGGGGGCCCGCACAAGCGGUGGAGCAUGUGGUUUAAUUCGAUGCAACGCGAAGAACCUUACCUACUCUUGACAUCCAGAGAACUUAGCAGAGAUGCUUUGGUGCCUUCGGGAACUCUGAGACAGGUGCUGCAUGGCUGUCGUCAGCUCGUGUUGUGAAAUGUUGGGUUAAGUCCCGCAACGAGCGCAACCCUUAUCCUUUGUUGCCAGCGGUUAGGCCGGGAACUCAAAGGAGACUGCCUGUGAUAAACUGGAGGAAGGUGGGGAUGACGUCAAGUCAUCAUGGCCCUUACGAGUAGGGCUACACACGUGCUACAAUGGCGCAUACAAAGAGAAGCGACCUCGCGAGAGCAAGCGGACCUCAUAAAGUGCGUCGUAGUCCGG